GUGCUCGCUUCGGCGGCAUAUAUACUGAAAUUGAAACAAUACAGAGAAGAUUAGCAUGGUGCCUGUGCAAAUUCAUGAAGCAUUCCAUAUUCUU
rnacentral:snRNA from 3 species